GUUCCUGUAGUUGAAUUGUUAGUCAACGGUGGCUUUUCAAGUCACAGGUCUUGGAGAGAAGCCAAGUAGGAAUU
rnacentral:tRNA from 2 species